ACUACACCUUUAUCUUCAGUGAAUUUGUAAUCUCCCCGGAGUCCCAAGUCAAGCAAACAAGAAAACAUUGAUAACCGCAAAAGAAGCUGUUUCUCACAUCAAAUACUGGUAAGCGAAUGGUUUAUUGGAAGAAAAUAUACCAACACUCCUAGUCAAGAACAUUUGUUAUUGUUGUUCUAAAUGGAAAUUUACUACAGAAGCAAUAUUUUUUCCUUGAAAUGAACAUAUAUUGCAGAAAUAGAG
rnacentral:lncRNA from 1 species